UACGUAGGGUGCGAGCGUUAAUCGGAAUUACUGGGCGUAAAGCGUGCGCAGGCGGUUGUGCAAGACCGAUGUGAAAUCCCCGGGCUUAACCUGGGAAUGGCAUUGGUGACUGCACGGCUAGAGUGUGUCAGAGGGGGGUAGAAUUCCACGUGUAGCAGUGAAAUGCGUAGAGAUGUGGAGGAAUACCGAUGGCGAAGGCAGCCCCCUGGGAUAACACUGACGCUCAGGCACGAAAGCGUGGGGAGCAAACAGG
rnacentral:rRNA from 1 species